UUAUACAAGCUUAACCCCAUAUUCAAAUAGAUUUAUUUUUACGUUUGGCUUUAGAUCCAACGAUUCCUUGUGACCGGCGCACCAUAUACAGAUAUGGUCACCAUUACGGCUUUGGUAGUAACGUGGGCCACCCGAGGUCGGACUCGGUUGGAGUGCUACUAUAUGACAGUAUGCGGCAAUAUCCGAGGUAAUUGGUUCGAUAACACUAUGAAUAACAUUGCAAGUCUUGCAAAGCAGAGUUGUCUUUGAAUUCUUCAUAUAUGUUGUAUCUGCAGCAUGGACUCCAAUUUAAGGCCUUAUUGUCACAGCUAUAUGGUG